rnacentral:lncRNA from 1 species
AAGAACUCCUAAAAUUUGGAGGAAGGCUCAAUUUGAUGAAGAUGGCAGUGCCAAGCUCGACGAUACAGCGUGCAAACUCAUACUCUGUCCACAGAACGUGCUCGAUCUUGACCUCAGAGCUCAUGGAGGAGGAAGAGAAAGUAGAGAAGGAGAGAAGGGGGCUUUUCGUGGGUUUCUACGAUUUAUGGUUUAGAUUAGGGUUAAGAUAGGUGGACCAUUAAUUAGACGUUAUGUGCGGAGGGAAGGCGAAAGGUUGGAUUAAGGUGGGUGGACUAUUAAUUAGACGUUAUGGGUGGAGGGAAGACGAAGGGUUGGGUUAAGGUGGGUGAAGCCUUAAUUAGACGUUAUGGGUGGAGGGAAGGCGAAGGGUUGAUUUUGCAAUGUGAAGCCUAAAAGUAAAGGAAGCACAGCCACGUGGCAUUUCUUUUGGGGAUUAAUGUAUAGAUAUAGAGGUAU